rnacentral:rRNA from 1 species
CAAUAGCGUAUAUUAAAGUUGUUGCAGUUAAAAAGCUCGUAGUUGGAUUUGUGGCUGUCACGGGCGGCCUAUCACUUAGUGUUAGUGCUUGCCUGUGUCGCCAUCCUUGGGUGGAGCCCGUGUGGCAUUAGGUUGUCGUGCGGGGGAUGCCCAUCGUUUACUGUGAGAAAAUUAGAGUGUUCAAAGCAGGCUUAUGCCGUUGAAUAUGUUAGCAUGGAAUAAUAAGAUAGGACCUCGGUACUAUCUUGUUGGUUUGCGCACCGAGGUAAUGAUUAAUAGGGACAGUUGGGGGUAUUCGUAUUUCAUUGUCAGAGGUGAAAUUCUUGGAUUUCUGAAAGACGAACUACUGCGAAAGCAUUUACCAAGGAUGUUUUCAUUAA